GUGCUCAAUUUGGCUGCACAUACACUCAAAUUGGAACAUACAGAGAAGAUUAGCAUGGUACCUGCACAAGGAUGACACACAAAUUAGUGAAUCGUUUCAUAUUUUU
ensembl:snRNA U6 U6 spliceosomal RNA